CAACGUGGGUAACCUGCCCAAUAGAUCGGGAUAACACCUGGAAACAGGUGCUAAUACCGCAUAGGAAGUUUGUUCGCAUGAACAAACUUAGAAAGAUGGCUCUGCUAUCACUUAUCGAUGGCCUUGCGGUGCAUUAACUAGUUGGCGAGGUAACGGCUCACCAAGGUGAUGAUGCAUAGCCGACCUGAGAGGGUAAUCGGCCACAUUGGGACUGAGACACGGCCCAAACUCCUACGGGAGGCAGCAGAU
rnacentral:rRNA from 1 species